GACUUCCAGUUUGAACCAGUCACGUUGCCCAUUUUCUCUCUUUCAGGCUGUUGGGGCACCUGUGUUCCUAUGAGCAUGGCUAAACCAUUACAUCUCUGGGACUUUGUGACCUUGCAAAGUGGAUGUCCUACUUGCAUGAAGAAGGGGCCAUUAAAUUCAAACCAAGAUACCAUAAGGUUAAGAGCAUAGCUGUACUUGAGAAUUACCCAGUUUUGCUUCCUGUGCUGUGACAUUUGAGACCUGCCCUUUCCAGUGGAAGGCUAUGGACUUGCCAGCUCAACAUUUUAGAUGGUAUCACAGUCAUGGAAAACCUCUGCCUUAGUGCUGGUGUGGAGGCAAAGAUACACCAAGUGAGUAUGUGGAGUGG
rnacentral:lncRNA from 1 species